rnacentral:rRNA from 1 species
GUAGUCCACGCCCUAAACGAUGUCAACUUGGUUGUUGGGUCUUCACUGACUCAGUAGCGAAGCUAACGCGUGAAGUUGACCGCCUGGGAGUUACGCCGGCAAGGUUGAAACUCAAAGGAAAUUGACGGGACCCCGCACCAAAGCGGUGGAUGAUGUGGUUUAAUUCGAUGCAACGCGAAAAACCUUACCUACCUUUGACAUGUACGGAACUCGCCAGAGAUGGCUUGGUGCUCGAAAGAGAGCCGUAACACAGGUGCUGCAUGGCUGUCGUCAGCUCGUGUCGUGAGAUGUUGGGUUAAGUCCCGCAACGAGCGCAACCCUUGUCAUUAGUUGCUACAUUCAGUUGGGCACUCUAAUGAGACUGCCGGUGACAAUGCCGGAGGAAGGUGGGGAUGACGUCAAGUCCUCAUGGCCCUUAUAGGUGGGGCUACACACGUCAUACAAUGGCUGGUACAAAGGGUUGCCAACCCGCGAGGGGGAACUAAUCCCAUAAAGCCAG